AUAAGGGAAAAACAAAAGAUUAGGAACCUAGGCAGUACAUAUCAACGAAACGAUGCGUUUAAGAGUGGUGCAUCUUCAUCUUCCUCACUCCACCCAGUUCUGAAACCCGCAGAGUCAUUUCAACCAAUGCGCCUAUAACAUCGCCGGACACAGUUCACGAUUUCGCCAUUUCUUCCGCUGCAAUUGGGAAUCAACCCUAACAACCAAUCCAGCAUGAAAUGAUUAAGCUUCAGAUUAUGAUUUUGCUCCAGUGUGUUUUGCUAAAAUGAUAGUUGUUGAGAGCCAUGUUAGUUGAAUAUGGGGAAGAAAUUGAAUUCACUUCCUUUUCUGUUUUUCAUUGAUGCAAAGGAAGCUUAGAAAUUUACUUGUUUCCAUCACAAGGGCAAAGCUAUGAACCCUUUGAGUACAAGCACACCAACCAGAAUGUUAUCUAAAAGAAAACCCCUUUAUAGAUUGCCCCUCAUUCCUGUGUCUGCCCUUGUCUUGUUCCUCUCCUUCCUGUUUUUGUAUUACUAUUAUAUCAAACCUGAUUCUGAUUUGCCUGGAUUGUCCCAAACUUCAACAACUUCGACAUCACACGCUCCUCAAUGUUCCGGCCAAGCCCUGGCCUUAGGCGAGAAAUUUAUGUGGUAUGCGCCUCACAGCGGGUUCAGCAAUCAGCUUUCGGAGUUCAAGCAUGCUGUUUUGUUGGCAGGGAUUCUGAAUCGCACUCUGGUUGUUCCUCCUAUUCUGGAUCAUCAUGCUGUUGCUCUAGGUAGCUGUCCGAAGUUUCGGGUUGUGGAUCCGAAGGAACUUAGGCUUUCUGUUUGGGAUCAUGUUAUUGAGCUCGUUCGUGAUGGAAGGUAUAUCUCCAUUGCUGACAUAAUAGACAUCUCAUCAUUAGUUUCUUCCUCUCUUGUUCGAGUGAUUGAUCUCAGGGAUUUUGUUUCAAUAUGGUGUGGCAUCAGCUUAGAUUUGGCUUGCUCAAAGGACUCAAAGUCGCAGUCCACUGUUUCUGAAAGCCUUAAGCAAUGCGGCUCCCUGCUAGCUGGAGUUCAUGGAAGUAUAGGGAAGUGUAUAUAUGCUGUCAAUGAAGAUUGCAGAUCUACAGUUUGGACUUACCAUGUAGAUGGUCAUGAGGAUGGCAUGUUAGAUUCAUUCCAACCCGAUGAACAACUGAAGCAGAAAAGGAAAAUAUCAUAUGUCAGGAGACGGAGAGACGCAUUUAAGACACUUGGACCUGGUUCUGAAGCUGAAUCAGCCUCACUACUAGCAUUUGGAAGCCUUUUCUCUGCCCCCUACAAAGGAUCUGAGCUUUAUGUUGAUAUUCGUGAAUCUCAUCAAGACCAUAGAUUUCUUUCUGUGAUGGGGACGGUUAAGUUUCUUCCAUUUGUCCCGGAAAUUGUGAAUGCUGCGAAGAAGUUUGCUAAUGCAACCAUAAAGGCUCCAUUUCUUUGUGCACAACUGAGAUUGUUGGAUGGGCAGUUUAAGAAUCAUCAGAAGGCUACAUUUCAUGUGUUAAGACAAAAAUUAGAAUCCUUGAGGCACGAAGGCCCUCUACCCAUACAUAUAUUUGUAAUGACUGAUCUUCCUGGAAAUAAUUGGACUGAUACUUACUUAGGCGAUUUAAUUAGCGAUGCGCAUAACUACAAGGUGUAUUUCUUAAGAGAAGAUGAUGAGCUGGUCAAGCAAGUAGCCAUGAAACUCAUGGCAGGGGGUCAUGGACAGAGGUUCAUUCCAAAUUCAGAUAAUGCAAUUGGUAAAAAGCAUUGUUCCAAUCAUGUAUUGCCUGAUGUACUUCUUUAUGUUGAGCAGACUAUAUGUGGUUGUGCAUCUCUUGGUUUUGUUGGAACUCCUGGGUCAACCAUUGCAGAAAAUAUAGAACUAAUGAGAAAUUUUGGCUCAAGUUCCUGUUGAAGUUGAUAGCUUUGAGGAAAAUCACUCUUACUGUAAGGUGCUAAAACCUUGUUGAUGAAUUGCGAGUUCAGUCACGUUGUACCAGGAGAUGAUUGCAGAGGCCUUGUUUUGAGUUAUCAGUUCAGUAUCCAAAUUUUGAUAAUUAGUGAGCUAGCCAAACCAAAGUCAUUUGUUAAGAGACACUGUACAGUCAAGGGCAUUCUUAUUUGAGGCGAAAUGCAUAUGUAUGAUUCCUUGUCCAAUCUAAGCUCACAUUGGGCCAAAAUCAAGUCUGAAGUCAAAUCCAGCAGACCUACGGCUGGCUCUGGUCUCUGAGUCUCUGUGUAUCCAAAAACAAAGGACAUUUCCAAGUCACAUAACAUGACAUGAUGACAUAAUAUUGGAAGGAAGAUGAUUGUUAUAUAUAUCGUGGAAUUCAAUUGAAUCUUUUAGCAGGGUAUGUACGAUUGAUGAUUACGCGUGUGUUUGUUUAAACCUUUUUUCUUUAUUUGAAGUCGUGUGUUUGUGUUGUUCGAGUUGGGUGUGAUGAAUGUUAAAGAUAGUUUCAAGGUUGUGAUUUUUAA